rnacentral:misc_RNA from 1 species
UCCGGUUUGUCACCGGCAGUCUCAUUAGAGUGCCCUUUCGUAGCAACUAAUGACAAGGGUUGCGCUCGUUGCGGGACUUAACCCAACAUCUCACGACACGAGCUGACGACAGCCAUGCAGCACCUGUGCACCUCCCACCCGAAGUGAAGAGCUCCUUUUCGGGAGCUCAUAGAGGGCAUGUCAAAGCCUGGUAAGGUUCUUCGCGUUGCCUCGAAUUAAACCACAUGUUCCACCGCUUGUGCGGGUCCCCGUCAAUUUCUUUGAGUUUUAAUCUUGCGACCGUACUCCCCAGGCGGCAUACUUAACGCGUUAGCGUCGACACUGCAGGGGUCAAUACCCGCAACAUCUAGUGCUCAUCGUUUACGGCGUGGACUAC